UACGAAGGGGGCAAGCGUUGUUCGGAAUUACUGGGCGUAAAGGGCGCGUAGGCGGCUUAUCAAGUCAGGCGUGAAAUUCCCGGGCUCAACCUGGGGGCUGCGCUUGAUACUGUUGAGCUUGAAUGCGGGAGAGGAUAGUGGAAUUCCCAGUGUAGAGGUGAAAUUCGUAGAUAUUGGGAAGAACACCGGUGGCGAAGGCGGCUAUCUGGCCCGUAAUUGACGCUGAGGCGCGAAAGCGUGGGGAGCAAACAGG
rnacentral:rRNA from 1 species